ensembl:lncRNA novel transcript, antisense to GJA5
UUUAACAAGGCCUGGGGAAAUUCCACUGGCCUCAGUGGCUGAUGAUCUGGUCAGGGUUCGAGAGAGGACAACAGCUUCUUGGAUAUUCCUGUUGGUAAGGCCUUCAGGGAAUGGCUGGGUGAACAGCCAAGGGAGAAAGGGAAGGGAUGGUUUCUAUCAUUGGAUUGAACUGUAAAGGAGCUGCAGGGUGACAGAUGUUGGCAGGAAUUCCAGUAGAGUUUGUGUGUACAGUGACUCCCUAGCAGGGCUGACACCUGCACAGGCUAGGUGUACACCCUAGCAGAAGGAAAGGUUGCAACAUCACCAAGAAUUUUCCCCCAGGGCCAUUCUCCAGGCACUG